GAUGAAGAACAUAGCGAAAUGCGAUAAGUAAUGUGAAUUGCAGAAUUCAGUGAAUCAUCGAAUCUUUGAACGCACAUUGCGCCCGCCAGUAUUCUGGCGGGCAUGCCUGUCUGAGCGUCAUUUCAACCCUCAUGCCCCUAGGGCGUGGUGUUGGGGAUCGGCCAAAGCCCGCGAGGGACGGCCGGCCCCUAAAUCUAGUGGCGGACCCGUCGUGGCCUCCUCUGCGAAGUAGUGAUAUUCCGCAUCGGAGAGCGAUGAGCCCCUGCCGUUAAACCCCCAACUUUCCAAGGUUGACCUCAGAUCAGGUAGGAAUACCCGCUGAACUUAAGCAUAUCAAUAAGCGGAGGA
rnacentral:misc_RNA from 1 species